UUUCGGGCUAUAAUUUUAACUGCUCGACAUAUGUAAGUAGACCUGACCCACGGGAAAAUAUUAGUCAUAUUAAUUGUGUAUAUUAAGAGCUCGAUAUUUUAAGGAUGGUGUUAAUUUCGUGUGGGUCCCUCCAAGAAAGUGCCAACAAUUAUUAAUUAAUGGAUGAAGACCUAUUAUGUGGUUGAAAGGGGGCUGGAACGUGUACACUUUAUGUACACAUAUAAAGAGGCACUUAAAUUGAUAUUUUCCAUUCUAAUUAAGAGGAGCUUAGGUGCCCUUUGCUUAUGAAGUAACCUGGACAGCAAAUCACUUUGGGGUUGAGCUACUGGAAGUUGCAAACCGUUCUACUACAUUUCUCUUGCAAGACAUAACAUCAAAUCCCCUUCUUCAACAACUUAGUAGCAAAAGUUUCCUCUCAAAAACCAAGAAGAAACAACGUGUAUUUCAGCCCCUAAUAUCAACAUGAUUUCCAUUUUUUUUUAUUAUUAGUGAAGCAAAGUAUAAUUCCUCUCAAGAAAUAUAUACAAGUUUUGCUCUCUACCUCGAUCCCGUUAUUCCGUUGUUGUCGUGUUGUUGAAUCUGGGCAUUCUUGAAAGUGAAGUAAGGUGGAAGGAAACUACUUCUUUGCAUAUAAGCCCCAGAUUGCUUUGCAAGAAAGAUUAUACAGGAGUCUGACUGUAGGGUAUUCUCAGGCUAUCAGCUGGAUUGGUAAACUCCAUUUCAUUCGGAGUAUGGCCGAGUCAGAGUUUUUCUUUAUGAUAUGAGUCAGAUGCAUUAUGGGUAUGUUGGGACCCUAUUUGUUUUGAUAUCAUGUUCUAUGUUAGAGACUUUUGCAGACGGAGUCAUGUACAUAGUAUGUCAUUCUUGUAAGCGGCUAUAUAAGCCGAUAUAUCAUUUUGCACUUUACGGAUUUCAUAUGAUUACAGAUUUUACUUGAUUUAAGAAAGACGAAAAGAAUGUUUUGAAAAGCUUUCAUUAUGCAUAUCAUUUCAUAAUUAAGAGUCCAGUAAUAUUAUGAGUAUAACGAGAACCAGCGGGUUCGCUCGGCUCUAAGUAAGGGUCGGGUGCCCAUCAUGCUCUAUCGGAAUAGGGGUGUGACAGUUAUAUUUUAAUAUUGCAGUUUCUAUAUUUUAACUUGUGUUUAAGAUAUCAUCAUAAAAUAUUUUUUCAAAAAUUGAGGUUUAAGUUCAGGUUCUCCGGUGUUUAAAUUACAACACCAAGUCCUAACUGUUUCUACAGAAUUUAAUUUAUAUGUAUCAUGUAAAAAUGUUUUACAUAAUCAGUCAAGGGUUUAGCUAGGGUGGCCUAAUAAGCUGGUUCAUCCAAAAUUCUUUUGCUGGCCAGAAAAUUAUACUAUAUAUGCAAAGUCAAAUUAUUCUUUAUGUAUCAUAGUAGUUAUUGUAUUCUCUUACCUUCUUUGUGUAUUUACUUUCUUUAUAUUUUAAAUCACUUUACUGAAAAUUUUGGCUCUAUCACUAAAUCGCUUCAUACAAAAUGGACUACAUUGAUUGAGUCCUAUCCGACGGUAACAGUGAAACAAUAUUAUAACCAAUGAGAGGGUAUUACAAUAAAAUUUUACGUGACUAAGUAGGUUCACCGUGAAAUAUUAAAAAAAAGUUCUUAUUAUAUUAUGAUGUUACUAAUGUUUGUUCUA